UACGUGGGCGCAAGCGUUGUCCGGAAUUAUUGGGCGUAAAGAGCUCGUAGGCGGUUUGUCGCGUCUGCUGUGAAAGCCCGGGGCUCAACCCCGGGUCUGCAGUGGGUACGGGCAGACUAGAGUGCAGUAGGGGAGACUGGAAUUCCUGGUGUAGCGGUGAAAUGCGCAGAUAUCAGGAGGAACACCGAUGGCAAGGCGGUCUCUGGCUGUUACUGACGCUGAGGAGCGAAAGCAUGGGGAGCGAACAGGAUUAGAUACCCGUGUAUCC
rnacentral:rRNA from 1 species